ACGUAGGUGACAAGCGUUAUCCGGAAUUACUGGGCGUAAAGCGCACGCAGGCGGCCAAGUAAGUCUGACGUGAAAUCUCCCGGCUUAACCGGGAGCGGUCGUUGGAAACUACUUGGCUUGAGGCGAUGAGAGGGGUGUGGAAUUCCCGGUGUAGUGGUGGAAUGCGUAGAUAUCGGGAGGAACAUCAGUGGCGAAAGCGGCACCCUGGCAUUGGCCUGACGCUCAGGUGCGAAAGCGUGGGGAGCGAACGGGA
rnacentral:rRNA from 1 species